CCUACGGGAGGCUGCAGUGGGGAAUAUUGCACAAUGGGCGCAAGCCUGAUGCAGCCAUGCCGCGUGUGUGAAGAAGGCCUUCGGGUUGUAAAGCACUUUCAGCGGGGAGGAAGGCGGUGAGGUUAAUAACCUCAUCGAUUGACGUUACCCGCAGAAGAAGCACCGGCUAACUCCGUGCCAGCAGCCGCGGUAAUACGGAGGGUGCAAGCGUUAAUCGGAAUUACUGGGCGUAAAGCGCACGCAGGCGGUCUGUCAAGUCGGAUGUGACAUCCCCGGGCUCAACCUGGGAACUGCAUUCGAAACUGGCAGGCUAGAGUCGUGUAGAGGGGGGUAGAAUUCCAGGUGUAGCGGUGAAAUGCGUAGAGAUCUGGAGGAAUACCGGUGGCGAAGGCGGCCCCCUGGACAAAGACUGACGCUCAGGUGCGAAAGCGUGGGGAGCAAACAGGAUUAGAUACCCGAGUAGUC
rnacentral:rRNA from 1 species